AGCCUUCUGUAUCCGUGCUGAGAUUUCGUCACACAUCAGACAACAAAGGCUGAUGAUAAUCCCAAGAUAGGUGAAGCA
rnacentral:pre_miRNA from 1 species